rnacentral:rRNA from 1 species
GAUGAACGCUAGCGGCAGGCCUAACACAUGCAAGUCGAGGGAGAGGUUACCUUCGGGUAACCAAAACCGGCGCACGGGUGCGUAACGCGUAUACAAUCUGCCUUUCACAUAGGGAUAGCCCGAAGAAAUUUGGAUUAAUACCUAAUGGUAUAUAAGAGCGGCAUCGUUUUUAUAUUAAAGCUACGGUGGUGAAAGAUGAGUAUGCGUUCUAUUAGCUAGUUGGAGAGGUAACGGCUCCCCAAGGCGACGAUAGAUAGGGGUUCUGAGAGGGAUGUCCCCCACACUGGUACUGAGAUACGGACCAGACCCCUACGGGAGGCAGCAGUGAGGAAUAUUGGUCAAUGGUCGGAAGACUGAUCCAGCCAUGCCGCGUGCAGGAUGAAGGUCCUAUGGAUUGUAAACUGCUUUUGUAAGGGAAGAAUAAGGAGUACGUGUACUUUGAUGACGGUACCUUACGAAUAAGCAUCGGCUAACUCCGUG